UAAAGACAGUCACUGACUCUUUCCUGGUGACAGAGUCACCGACUCCGUCCUGGCCCCAAGCUAAAAGGACGACCACAGACCCAACGAGACAGAAGGGACAGAAGGGACCUGUGACAGAAGCUCAAGAUGGCUCAGCCUGCUCUGACUGCUUCACACGGCUGAGGAGAUGGUAUCUCUCUCACAGCCCAUCUAGGCCUCCACCUGGCUUUCCUGGCCCUCUCUCUGGGCUUCCGAUCCCCGCCUGCCAGUGAUGUCUUCUAUCCCAGCCACCAAGCACCACCUUUUGCCAGCCAGCAAAACGCAAAUGUCAUUAGCACUCCACAAGCUGCAAGCCUUCCCUGUAGCAAAGAAGGACACUGAUGCUCAAGGUCAAGCAGCCAGCGAGGCUUGGCCUCUCCAGGCCUCAUCAGGCCCUGCAUCCCAGGAGUAGCAAGUUACAAGCAAAUAAACCAUGAUGACUCAGAGAAGUCUGAUCUUAAAAUAUUAUUAAAGAGAAAGACUGUUGUAUGACUCUGAACAGCCUGUUUAUUAAACUCCAGCUAAUAAGUGAAAUGAGUUAAGUUAAUGAAAAAACAACCUUCGGGAAGGAUUUCAUCACCUAACGGUGGCCCAUAAACAUCAACAUGAAAAUUUAAAGCGCAAGAAUGAAUAUGGACGUCAGCGGCGGGGGAGGCUGCAGGGGAGCAACCACGGAUCCCAGCGGCUUCUUCUCACCCGUGGGGUCUCUGGGAAGUCAUAAAGGAAGGAGUUAUUUCCCAUUGUUCACACACAAGGAUGCUAGGUGCUGAAUUUAAAUUGUCUCUCGUUCCUAAUUAGUAGGGAUGAAAUUAGAAUCCAUGUAUGGGAGAAUUGGAAAGGGCUGAGGAGCCUCUGCAUACAGAUUUCUUUGUUUUCCAGACUGCAGCCAGAGAAAGAGAGAGAGACAGACAGACAGACAGACAGACAGACACAGACAGAGACAUAAAGAGAAAGAGACAGAAAGGCAGAGAGACAGAGGAGAGACAGGAGAGAGAGAGAGAAGAAACAGAAAGAGAGAGAGAGAAAAGAGAAGAGAGACAGAGAGGCAAGAGAGACAGAGACAUAGAGAGAACGAGACAGAGAAAGGCAGAAAGACAGAUGAGAGAGAGAAGAGAGGAGAGACAGAAGAGAGAGAAGAAAGAGAGAAAGAGAGAGAGAAGAAAGAGAAAUAGAGAGAGAGAGAGAACCCUUUAAGCCACACAGAAAAAGGGCACAUGUUGAUAUCCAAGUUGGCAGACCAUUCUAAGUCACACAAGCAUCCUCUCUGUGCAGAGAGGCUGAGCCCAUGUGCCAACCAAGCUUGACCGGAGAGAACCGAACUC